AAAGCAUUCUCUGGUGUUGAAGGCCCUGCAAAGCAGCAUCGCGGUGGCGGAGCGUCGUUUGCGACGCCCAACACACAAAACAAGCGGUGAGUGCUUUGGGGUGGGGUGACUGCGUACCUUUUGUAUAAUGGGUCAGCGACUUAUAUUCUGUAGCAAGGUUAACCGUAUAGGGGAGCCGCAGGGAAACCGAGUCUUAACCGGGCGUUAAGUUGCAGGGUAUAGACCCGAAACCCGGUGAUCUAGCCAUGGGCAGGUUGAAGGUUGGGUAACACUAACUGGAGGACCGAACCGACUAAUGUUGAAAAAUUAGCGGAUGACCUGUGGCUGGGGGUGAAAGGCCAAUCAAACCGGGAGAUAGCUGGUUCUCCCCGAAAGCUAUUUAGGUAGCGCCUCGUGAAUUCAUCUCCGGGGGUAGAGCACUGUUUCGGCUAGGGGGCCAUCCCGGCUUACCAACCCGAUGCAAACUGCGAAUACCGGAGAAUGUUAUCACGGGAGACACACGGCGGGUGCUAACGUCCGUCGUGAAGAGGGAAACAACCCAGACCGCCAGCUAAGGUCCCAAAGUCAUGGUUAAGUGGGAAACGAUGUGGGAAGGCCCAGACAGCCAGGAUGUUGGCUUAGAAGCAGCCAUCAUUUAAAGAAAGCGUAAUAGCUCACUGGUCGAGUCGGCCUGCGCGGAAGAUGUAACGGGGCUAAACCAU
rnacentral:rRNA from 1 species